rnacentral:rRNA from 1 species
AUUGAACGCUGGCGGCAGGCCUAACACAUGCAAGUCGAGCGAGCGGCGGACGGGUGAGUAAUGUCUGGGAAACUGCCUGAUGGAGGGGGAUAACUACUGGAAACGGUAGCUAAUACCGCAUACCAUCGGAUGUGCCCAGAUGGGAUUAGCUAGUAGGUGGGGUAAUGGCUCACCUAGGCGACGAUCCCUAGCUGGUCUGAGAGGAUGACCAGCAACAAUGGAACGGAGAAACGGUACAGACUCCUACGGGAGGCAGCAGUGGGGAAUAUUGAACAAUGGGCGCAAGCCUAAUGCAGCCAUGCCGCGUGUAUGAAGAAGGCCUUCGGGUUGUAAAGUCUUUUCAGCGGGGAGGCGUUACCCGCAGAAGAAGCACCGGCUAACUCCGGGCCAGCCGCCGCGGUAAUUC